AGUUUGAUCAUGGCUCAGGAUGAACGCUGGCGGUAUGCAUUACACAUGCAAGUCGUACGAAAACUUCGGUUUUAGUGGCAAACGGGUGAGGAAUACAUGAGAAUCUACCUUUAAGAGGAGGAUAACAAUUGGAAACACUUGCUAAAACUCCAUACGCCUCUGGGUGAAAAAGUGUAAAACUGCUUAAAGAUGAGCUCAUGUCUGAUUAGCUAGUUGGUGAGGUAAUGGCUCACCAAGGCGACGAUCAGUAGCUGGUCUGAGAGGAUGAUCAGCCACACUGGAACUGAGACACGGUCCAGACUCCUACGGGAGGCAGCAGUGGGGAAUUUUCUGCAAUGGGCGAAAGCCUGACAGAGCAAUACCGCGUGAGGGAAGAAAGCCUACGGGUUGUAAACCUCUUUUCUCAAGGAAGAAGAUCUGACGGUACUUGAGGAAUAAGCAUCGGCUAACUCUGUGCCAGCAGCCGCGGUAAUACAGAGGAUGCAAGCGUUAUCCGGAAUUACUGGGCGUAAAGCGUCUGC
rnacentral:rRNA from 1 species